rnacentral:rRNA from 1 species
CCUACGGGAGGCAGCAGUGGGGAAUAUUGGGCAAUGGGCGCAAGCCUGACCCAGCAACGCCGCGUGAAGGAAGAAGGCUUUCGGGUUGUAAACUUCUUUUCUCAGGGACGAAGCAAGUGACGGUACCUGAGGAAUAAGCCACGGCUAACUACGUGCCAGCAGCCGCGGUAAUACGUAGGUGGCAAGCGUUAUCCGGAUUUACUGGGUGUAAAGGGAGUGUAGGCGGGAAAGCAAGUCAGAUGUGAAAACCAUGGGCUCAACCUGUGGCCUGCAUUUGAAACUGUUUUUCUGGAGUACUGGAGAGGCAGACGGAAUUCCUAGUGUAGCGGUGAAAUGCGUAGAUAUUAGGAGGAACACCAGUGGCGAAGGCGGUCUGCUGGACAGCAACUGACGCUGAGGCGCGAAAGCGUGGGGAGCAAACAGGAUUAGAUACCCGGGUAGUC